rnacentral:rRNA from 1 species
AUGACAAGAGUGAAUAAUAGUUACUAUGUACUUCCAGGAGAACUCGAACCGAAGCGCACCGUGUCAAACACUCACAGCAUUGGGAAGGUGAUGUUCCUAACAGCUGUUGCCAAGCCUCGAUAUAACAAUGAGGGGGAGCUAACAUUCGAUGGGAAGAUCGGCAUUUGGGCAUUUGUCAAAGAGACUGAGGCGAAGCGGACAAGUCAAAACAGAACAAAGGGAACAAAAGUGUUGACAUCAGUGAAAGUAACUAGGCCUGUGUGCAGAGAUUAUCUAAUCAGUAAGGUUAUCCCGGCAAUUCAGGAUAAGUGGCCUGAGAUGAUGAGGGAGCAACAAUAUUCAUCCAACAGGAUAACGCAAAGCCUCAUGUCCUUCCCAAUGAUGUAG